rnacentral:misc_RNA from 1 species
UUUCCGUAGGUGAACCUGCGGAAGGAUCAUUACAGAGUACCGGUACCCUCUGGGUACCUACUCCAACCAAUUGUGUACCCGACAUGUUGCCUUGGCGAACCGGUGCUUCGGUACCGCCGGCCCCCGGCUGGAGAGCGUUCGCCAGAGGACAUUUCAAACCAUGUUAAUUGUGGCUUCUGAGUAUAAGUUUAAAUAAAUCAAAACUUUCAACAACGGAUCUCUUGGUUCUGGCAUCGAUGAAGAACGCAGC